GAUGAACGCUAGCGGGAGGCCUAAUACAUGCAAGUCGAACGGUAACAGGUAGCAAUACGCUGACGAGUGGCGCACGGGUGCGUAACGCGUACACAAUCUGCCUUAUACUGGGGCAUAGCCUUUGGAAACGAAGAAUAAUUCCCCAUAACAUAUAGAAGAGGCAUCUCUUUUAUAUUAAAGCUCAGGCGGUAUAAGAUGAGUGUGCGUCCGAUUAGGUAGUUGGUGAGGUAACGGCUCACCAAGCCAACGAUCGGUAGCUGGUCUGAGAGGAUGAUCAGCCACACGGGCACUGAGACACGGGCCCGACUCCUACGGGAGGCAGCAGUAGGGAAUAUUGGACAAUGGGCGCAAGCCUGAUCCAGCCAUCCCGCGUGAAGGAUGAAGGUCCUCUGGAUUGUAAACUUCUUUUCUUCGGGAAUAAAAACUGGGGUUCUCCUCAGCUUGAAGGUACCGAAGGAAUAAGCACCGGCUAACUCCGUGCCAGCAGCCGCGGUAAU
rnacentral:rRNA from 1 species